CCUACGGGAGGCAGCAGUGGGGAAUAUUGCACAAUGGGGGAAACCCUGAUGCAGCGACGCCGCGUGAGUGAAGAAGUAAUUCGGUAUGUAAAGCUCUAUCAGCAGGGAAGAAAAUGACGGUACCUGAGUAAGAAGCCCCGGCUAACUACGUGCCAGCAGCCGCGGUAAUACGUAGGGGGCAAGCGUUAUCCGGAUUUACUGGGUGUAAAGGGAGCGUAGACGGCAGUGCAAGUCUGGAGUGAAAGGCGGGGGCUCAACCCCAGGACUGCUCUGGACACUGUACGGCUGGAGUGCAGGAGAGGUAAGUGGAAUUCCUAGUGUAGCGGUGAAAUGCAUAGAUAUCACGAAGAACUCCGAUUGCGAAGGCAGCAUACCGGCGCCCAACUGACGCUCAGGCACGAAAGCGUGGGUAUCGAACAGGAUUAGAUACCCGUGUAGUC
rnacentral:rRNA from 1 species